rnacentral:tRNA from 1 species
GAUUAAUUAAUUAAAGUUUAAUAUGUGUUUUGAAAGCACAAUAAAGAGGUUAAAUUCCUCUAUUAAUCU